ACUUAAAUAGUAUAAACAUUACAUUUAACUUCCAAUUAAAAAAUCUAUCUUAUAGUUUAAGUA
rnacentral:tRNA from 1 species